rnacentral:rRNA from 1 species
GAUGAACGCUGGCGGCGUGCCUAAUACAUGCAAGUCGAGCGAACGGACGAGAAGCUUGCUUUUCUGAUGUUAGCGGCGGACGGGUGAGUAACACGUGGAUACCCUACCUAUAAGACUGGUAUAACUUCGGGAAACCGGAGCUAAUACCGUAUAAUAUUUUGAACCGCAUGGUUCAAUAGUGAAAGUCGGUCUUUCUGUCACUUAUAGAUGGAUCCGCGCUUCAUUAGAUAGUUGGUAAGGUAACGGCUUACCAAGGGAACGAUGCAUAGACGACGUAUGAGGGUGGUAGGCCACCUGAGAAGGGGACCGCGCACAAUAGGACUAAGGGAGGCACCAGAAGGGAACCUGACGCAGAGGGGGGAAGCAUGACGGAGCAACGCGGCGUCAGUGAUGACGGUGUCGCGAUCGGAAAAAUCUGUUAUUAGGGGAGAACAUCUGUGUAAGUAACUGAGCACAUAUUGACGGUAAUUAAUAAAAAAGCAACGGCUAACUACGUG